GAUGAACGCUGGCGGCGUGCCUAAUACAUGCAAGUCGAGCGAACUGAUUAGAAGCUUGCUUCUAUGACGUUAGCGGCAGACGGGUGAGUAACACGUGGGCAACCUGCCUGUAAGACUGGGAUAACUUCGGGAAACCGAAGCUAAUACCGGAUAGGAUCUUCUCCUUCAUGGGAGAUGAUUGAAAGAUGGUUUCGGCUAUCACUUACAGAUGGGCCCGCGGUGCAUUAGCUAGUUGGUGAGGUAACGGCUCACCAAGGAAACGAUGCAGAGCCCCCCUGAGAGGGUGCUGGGCCACACGGGGGCUGAGACACGGCCCCGACUCCUACGGGACGCAGCAGUAGGGAAUCUUCCGCAAUGGACGAAAGUCUGACGGAGCAACGCCGCGUGAGUGAUGAAGGCUUUCGGGUCGUAAAACUCUGUUGUUAGGGAAGAACAAGUACAAGAGUAACUGCUUGUACCUUGACGGUACCUAACCAGAAAGCCACGGCUAACUACGUGCCAGCCGCCGCCGUAA
rnacentral:rRNA from 1 species